rnacentral:rRNA from 1 species
AUUGAACGCCGGCGGCAGGCUUAACACAUGCAAGUCGAGCGGUAGCACAGGGGAGCUUGCUCCCUGGGUGACGAGCGGCGGACGGGUGAGUAAUGUCUGGGAAACUGCCUGAUGGAGGGGGAUAACUACUGGAAACGGUAGCUAAUACCGCAUAACGUCGCAAGACCAAAGAGGGGGACCUUCGGGCCUCUUGCCAUCAGAUGUGCCCAGAUGGGAUUAGCUAGUAGGUGGGGUAAUGGCUCACCUAGGCGACGAUCCCUAGCUGGUCUGAGAGGAUGACCAGCCACACUGGAACUGAGACACGGUCCAGACUCCUACGGGAGGCAGCAGUGGGGAAUAUUGCACAAUGGGCGCAAGCCUGAUGCAGCCAUGCCGCGUGUGUGAAGAAGGCCUUCGGGUUGUAAAGCACUUUCAGCGAGGAGGAAGGUGGUGAGCUUAAUACGUUCAUCAAUUGACGUUACUCGCAGAAGAAGCACCGGCUAACUCCGUG